GCUGGAGCAGCCGAGCGGGGACCCUCAAGGGUCCUUCAGGGAGUCCCAUGGGUCGCCACAAACACCAGCAAUACUUUUACUUCACGUUCCACUGCAGUUUUGAGGAUUGAAGAUAAAAGUGUGGGUUCCGUCUCAGGCUGAUCAAGUGACUACAAAGAUGCCUGAUAAAGAAAAGUUCUUCUGUUAAAACAACGGCAUCAAAUAGCCUACUAAAAAGAGAGUUUUCUUCAUAGACAAAAAUGUCUAUGUUUAAAACUAUUUGAUUAGAUUAAUAAAACGUUCUAUUGAGAUCGGCCCAUUAAUGAAUGAAGCUUUAUGCUUUUUAUGUGUUUUCCAAGAAAAUGGCGCGAGGAUAUUAAGUCAACAACUUUGUCAUUUUAAUCUUAUGUUGUUUUUGGGGGGGAUGGAUUUGUAACAUCUGUCCAGAGACUACAGAUGAAAAUAGCGUUUGUUUAUUAAUGUGCCCUAUCCCUGGUAAACAAAGCAAU